UGAGGGAUAUUGGGCAAUGGGCGCAAGCCUGACCCAGCGACGCCGCGUGGAGGACGAAGGGCUUCGGCUCGUAAACUCCUUUUCCCGUGGACGAGAAGCGGACGGUACACGGGGAAUAAGUCUCGGCUAACUACGUGCCAGCAGCCGCGGUAAAACGUAGGAGGCGAGCGUUAUCCGGAAUCACUGGGCGUAAAGGGCGUCUAGGCGGCGCGACAAGUGAGGUGUGAAAGCUCCUGGCUCAACUAGGAGAGUGCGCUUCAGACUGUCGCGCUUGGAGGGCAGGCGAAGGGGGUGGAAUUCCCGGUGGAGUGGUGGAAUGCGUAGAGAUCGGGAGGAACACCAGUGGCGAAAGCGGCCCCCUGGCCUGUUGCUGACGCUGAAGCGCGAAAGCGUGGGGAGCAAACGGG
rnacentral:rRNA from 1 species